ensembl:lncRNA
CUUCUCCUCUCUCCUCCUCUCCUCAUCACCUUCUCCUCUCUCCUCCUCUCCUCAUCACCUUAUCCUCUCUCCUCCUCUCCUCAUCACCUUCUCCUCUCUCCUCCUCUCCUCAUCACCUUCUCCUCUCUCCUCCUCUCCUCAUCACCUUCUCCUCUCUCCUCCUCUCCUCAUCGCCUUCUCCUCUCUCCUCCUCUCCUCAUCACCUUCUCCUCUCUCCUCCUCUCAUCAUCACCUUCUCCUCUCCUCAUCACCUCACCUUCUCCUCUCUCGUCCUCUCCUCAUCACCUUCUCCUCUCUCAUCCUCUCCUCAUCACCUUCUCCUCUCCUCAUCACCUCACCUUCUCCUCUCUUGUCCUCUCCUCAUCGCCUUCUCCUCUCUCGUCCUCUCCUCAUCACCUUCUCCUCUCUCCUCCUCUCCUCAUCACCUUCUCCUCUCUCGUCCUCUCCUCAUCACCUUCUCCUCUCUCCUCCUCUCCUCAUCACCUUCUCCUCUCUCCUCCUCUCAUCAUUGCCUUCUCCUCUCCUCCUCUCCUCAUCACCUUCUCCUCCUCAUCACAUUAUCCUCUCUGCUCCUCUCCUCAUCACCUUCUCCUCUCUCCUCAUCACCUUCUCCUCUCUCCUCCUCUCCUCUAUCGUCCUCUCCUCAUCACCUUCUCCUCUCUCGUCCUCUCCUCAUCACCUUCUCCUCUCGUCCUCUCCUCAUCAUCUUCUCCUCUCUCGUCCUCUCCUCAUCACCUUCUCCUCCUCUCCUCAUCACCUUCUCCUCUCCUCGUCACCUUCUCCUCUCCUCAUCACCUCACCUUCUCCUCUCUCGUCCUCUCCUCAUCACCUUCUCCUCUCUCCUUCUCUCAUCAUCGCCUUCUCCUCUCCUCCUCUCCUCAUCGCCUUCUCCAACUCAUCACCUUCUCCUCUCUGCUCCUCUCCUCAUCACCUUCUCCUCUCUCUCUCUCUCAUCACCUUCUCCUCUCUCCUCCUCACCUUCUCCUCUCUCCUCCUCUCCUCAUCACCUUCUCCUCUCUCCUCCCCUCCUCAUCACCUUCUCUUCUCCUUAUCACCUUCUCCUCUCCUCAUCACAAUCUCCUCUCCUCAUCACCUCACCUUCUCCUCUCUCUCAUCCUCUCCUCAUCACCUUCUCCUCUCUCGUCCUCUCCUCAUCACCUUCUCCCUCCUCCUCUCCUCAUCACCUUCUCCUCUCUCCUCCUCUCCUCAUCACCUUCUCCUCAUCACCUUCUCCUCUCUCCUCCUCUCAUCACCUUCUCCUCUCUCCUCAUCACCUUCUCCUCUCUCCUCAUCACCCUGUCCUCUCUCCUCCUCUCCUUCACCUCUCUCCUCAUCACCUUCUCCUCUCCUCAUCACCUUCUCCUCAUCACCUUCUCUUCUCUCCUCCUUUCAUCACCUUCUCCUCUCUCCUCAUCACCUUCUCCUCUCUCCUCCUCUCCUCAUCACCUUCUCCUCCUCUCCUCAUCAUCUUCUCCUCUCCUCAUCACCUUCUCCUCUCUCCUCCUCACCUUCUCCUCUCUCCUCCUCUCAUCACCUUCUCCUCUCAUCACCUUCUCCUCCUCUCAUCACCUUCUCCUCUCUCCUCAUCACCUUCUCCUCUCUCCUCCUCUCCUCAUCACCUUCUCCUCUCUCCUCCUCUCCUCAUCACCUUCUCCUCCUCUCCUCAUCACCUUCUCUCCUCCUCAUCUUCUCCUCCUCUCCUCAUCAUCUUCUCCUCCUCUCCUCAUCACCUUCUCCUCUCUCCUCCUCACCUUCUCCUCUCUCCUCCUCUCGUCACCUUCUCCUCCUCUCAUCACCUUCUCCUCCUCUCAUCACCUUCUCCUCUCUCCUCAUCAACUUCUCCUCUCUCCUCCUCUCCUCAUCACCUUCUCCUCUCUCCUCCUCUCCUCAUCACCUUCUCCUCUCUCCUCCUCUCCUCAUCACCUUCUCCUCCUCUCCUCAUCACCUUCUCCUCUCUCCUCCUCACCUUCUCCUCUCUCCUCCUCACCUUCUCCUCUCUCCUCCUCACCUUCUCCUCUCUCCUCCUCUCCUCAUUGCCCUCUCAUCUCUUCCCUAAUGCAGAUUAAAGUGAGCCAUGUACUCUAAUGCUCUAUUUGGGCCUAGGAGAUGGGAACCAAUAAAGAUUGAUAGAAGUGGAUAGAGAUAGUGAUAAAAGAGGAGGGGUGAGAAAGAGAGAGGGAGAGACAGGGAUUGAGGGUUAAGACAAGUGAGAAACUUUAGUGAUUGAGAGAGAGAGAGAGAGAGAGAGAGAGAGAGAGAGCUCGUGUAAUUGUAUGGUAAUAAGUUGUCAGGAGAACCUGUCAGGGUCGAGCUGGAGCCGCUCCGGAGCGACGAGGAGAUGGAGGAGAGGAAAGGAAGAAGGUAUUGGAGUCAGGAUCCCUCUGAGGAAAGUCCAAUCCAUGAUAGCGUUACCUGAUUGCCAAUUUGUGUCUGUCUUCAGACAUCACACACACAAAACACCCACACACAUGCACUGUAGUGGAAUGAUGGAGUUGAUUGGACAGGCUCUUGGUGCCUAACGAGGGGUCCAGGGCAAUCACAGACCAGUUGCUUUGUGACUGGAGGAGAAUGAAGGCCGCUAUAGCUUGUAUUCUCAUCAUUUCUCGAUGAAAAGGGAGCGCUACACUGAUUGUCUUCCCCCCUACUGUGCAUGCAGUUGAGCUGUUUGAAUCGGGCCUGCUGUUCAGAAAUGUAUACUGAAACAGAGAACUUUGAUCAAACUUCUGUGAUUGAGGCUGGAGUCCUAGGGACUCAUCUUUUUCUCUCUUUCUUCCUCUCUGACUCUUUUUCUCUUCACUCAAUCUCUUGUUUGUCCUGCAUCUCUUUUUCUCUCCUUGCAUGCACACACGCACACAUCGAUUGGAGAGUCGAUAUUGAGCAGUGGCUCUCGUCUAAAUUAAUAUUUGAUUUCUCUGGGGGUUUCAGACUGGAACCUUACAGUUACAGUCUGAGGGAUUGCUCUAAACGUUGUUUGAUUAAGUUUGUGUGUGUGUGUGUGUGUGUGUGUGUGUGCCUGCCUGCGAUACAACCCCCUACACACACAUUCAUGCACACAAUCAUACACACACAUCACUUGACUAGAAUGCAUCACUCACUGCAAAGCCUCUGCCAUUAAAGCUGUUAAUUUAUCAGACACACAUGGUGACUUAUUGAUUGAUGUGAGCACUAGGCCCAGAACUGUGUCUCUCAAACACUAGACCCAGAACUGUGUCUCUCAAACACUAGGCCCAGAACUGUAUCUCUCAAACACUAGGCCCAGAACUGUGUCUCUCAACCACUAGGCCCAGAACUGUGUCUCUCAAACACUAGGCCCAGAACUGUGUCUCUCAAACACUAGGCCCAGAACUGUAUCUCUCAAACACUAGGCCCAGAACUGUGUCUCUCAAACACUAGGCCCAGAACUGUGUCUCUCAAACACUAGACCCAGAACUGUGUCUCUCAAACAUUAGACCCAGAACUGUGUCUCUCAAACACUAGGCCCAGAACUGUGUCUCUCAAAUCCUAGGCCCAGAACUGUAUCUCUCAAACACUAGGCCCAGAACUGUGUCUCUCAAAAACUAGACCCAGAACUGUCUCUCAAACAGAGUCCCCAGUUCUCUGCAGCGAUAUGGUGAAACCAAAAGCAUGCCUUGUGUACUGUAGAAUCAUUCUUGUUUCAAAAUCCAAUAGUGUUAUUCGUGUAUAGUAUAUGGGUGCAUUCUAGGGUUUAGGGUGGGAAGAAAAUCCUUAGUACUGCAGUCAUCCAUUGUAAUGUAAGGAUGAGAGACCCUGGUAUUGUGCUGUAACUCCAAACACAAGGUAUGUUUCUCUCUGUCAGUGUGUUUGUCGACUUUGUUCUGUUGUUUGUGAGAUCUGAUUGGCAUCAGCACAGCAGUGUGUGUGUGAGAGAGAGAGUGAGAGAGUGAGAGAGUGAGAGAGUGAGAGAGAGAGCGAGAGAGAGAGCGAGAGAGAGAGAGUGAGAGAGAGCGAGAGAGAGCGAGAGAGAGAGAGAGAGCAAGAGAGAGAGCGAGAGAGCGAGCGAGAGCGAGCGAGAGAGAGAGAGAGAGAGAGAGAGAGAGCACGUUGGGGUAAUCUGCUUCUGCAAGAGUCUGUUACAUUAUUCAUCCUCCUGGGGCUCUGCGGCAGGGAGGGAGCAGCGGAGAGGGGUGGAGGAAUAGAGGAAGAGAGAAACAGAGAGGGUAAAGGACUCAGACAGAGCAGCCAAACAUUUCCGCACUGAGAGAUACAGUAUCAGAUACAUUACUCCCAGAUUGAAGGGGGUUAUUCAUGAAACUUUACAGCCACAGUAAAACAGUCUUCUAAAACCCAGCUUAAAGAAUAUCGAAGUGACCUUCGUGGGAGGGAUCUCAGAUAUUUCAGACUCCAGAGUAUGUUGUUCAGAGCAGAUAUCUGUUCUAAACAGACAGGUUCUAGUUAACCUGAGCCUUGUAUUAAAUGUCCACCCGAAGGCCUGGGGCGAGGUAAAGAGACAGUGUGAGGAAAGGGCUGGGUAUCGAUCCUCAGAGACAGACUUUGGCCCUCGGAUCAGACAAUAUUGACAGGCUAUCACCCACACACCCAGCGAAGUCUGACACUGUCUGACACCCAUCAUUAACACACACACGUGCAUGCACACACACACGCCGGAGGGAGGGUUGUGUGUGUGUGAGGUGGAGGGCUGUGUGCUUGGGAUGCAGAGCACGUUCGAGGUCUGUGAAGUUCUCCUUGCAGCAAAGUCUCAUUAAAGAGGCUCGCCUUAACACAGCUAUCUACAGCCAGACCAGACCUGACCACACACACAGAGAGGGAAGGAGAUAGAGAGAGAUAGAGAGAAAUAGAGAGAGUGAAAGAGACACUGAGGAACUCAAGCACGCACACAAACACAUAUGAAAUACUAUAUAAAUCUUUCUCAGGACACUGUGGUAUAACACAGUGUUUGAGUGGGAGGGAAUGGGUUUGUUAGAAGAAAAAAAAGAAUGUUCGCUCCCAUGGUGAUUUAAUCAGACACACAAAAAAAGACCUGACGAAGAUCCAACUCGGCUCGAAACCUUGUCUUUUCUUGCGUCAGAUCAAAUCCCCAUGGGAGCACACCACAGUUGCAGACAUUGCUUUUUUCUUUGAUCUGUCCUGCACCUGAUAAGUUGUAUGGGUGGGAUUUGACCCCUCCCUGAAGACUCCCUGAUCUUCCCUUUUUCCAUGUCCCUCUCUACAUCAACAGUGUUUAAACUAUGUUCUCCCAAAACUAUUCCCCUCCUACAGUAAUAUGAUAUUCAUGUAUAUUUGAUUGUGUCAUCUCUGUGGAGACUGCCUAUGGUGUGUCUGUGUGCCUUCUAAAUCUGUGUUUAUGAAUAAGUAAUAGAUUGCUAUGCACUGUGAUUAUUAAAGAACCCAAACUGCCAGGAAGCCAUGAUGAAAUUAUAUUGUAAUUCCUGCAUCUCUGAUGAAUACAUUUAUAUUUUUAUUUCUUGCAAUUUCUUUCCUGUUUCUGUUCCGGUAAAUGAGCGCUAAAGCUCUCUUGUUUUGCACUGAGACUCCCUGACGUUUACAUUUGUAUGGUUUUCACAACUGCGCUGAGAGUUUUUUAAUAAAACCGUCCUGUUUGUAAAUAUA